UCCUGGCUCAGGAUGAACGCUGGCGGUAUGCCUAACACAUGCAAGUCGAACGGAGUUCUUCGGAACUUAGUGGCGGACGGGUGAGUAACACGUGAGAACCUACCUUCAGAAUGGGGACAACAGUUGGAAACGACUGCUAAUACCCGAUGUGCCGAGAGGUGAAAGAUUUAUCGUCUGAAGAUGGGCUCGCGGCUGAUUAGCUAGUUGGUGUGGUAAGAGCGCACCAAGGCAACGAUCAGUAGCUGGUCUGAGAGGAUGAGCAGCCACACUGGAACUGAGAAACGGUCCAGACUCCUACGGGAGGCAGCAGUGGGGAAUUUUCCGCAAUGGCGAAAGCCUGACGGAGCAAUACCGCGUGUGGGAGGAAGGCCCUUGGGUUGUAAACCACUUUUCUAGGGGAAGAAGAUCUGACGGUACCCUAGGAAUAAGCAUCGGCUAACUCCGUGCCAGCAGCCGCGGUAAUACGGAGGAUGCAAGCGUUAUCCGGAAUCAUUGGGCGUAAAGCGUCCGUAGGUGGUCAAUCAAGUCUGCUGUCAAAGAAUGGAGCUUAACUCCAUAGAGGCGGUGGAAACUGGGAGACUAGAGUUCGGUAGGGGUAGCGGGAAUUCCCAGUGUAGCGGUGAAAUGCGUAGAUAUUGGGAAGAACAUCGGUGGCGAAAGCGCGCUACUGGGCCGAAACUGACACUGAGGGACGAAAGCUAGGGUAGCGAAAGGGAUUAGAUACCCCUGUAGUCCCAGCCGUAAACGAUGGAUACUAGGCGUAGUCUGUAUCGACCCGGACUGUGCCGAAGCUAACGCGUUAAGUAUCCCGCCUGGGGAGUACGCUCGCAAGAGUGAAACUCAAAGGAAUUGACGGGGGCCCGCACAAGCGGUGGAGUAUGUGGUUUAAUUCGAUGCAACGCGAAGAACCUUACCAAGGCUUGACAUGUCUGGAAGUCUACCGAAAGGUGGAUGUGCCUUAGGGAACCAGAACACAGGUGGUGCAUGGCUUGUCAGCUCGUGUCGUGAGAUGUUGGGUUAAGUCCCGCAACGAGCGCAACCCUCGUUUUUAGUUGCCAUCAUUAAGUUGGGCACUCUAGAGAGACUGCCGGUGACAAACCGGAGGAAGGUGGGGAUGACGUCAAGUCAUCAUGCCCCUUACGUCUUGGGCUACACACGUACUACAAUGGUCGGGACAACGGGCAGCUAAUCCGCGAGGACAAGCGAAUCCCACCAAACCCGGCCUCAGUUCAGAUUGCAGGCUGCAACUCGCCUGCAUGAAGGAGGAAUCGCUAGUAAUCGCAGGUCAGCAUACUGCGGUGAAUUCGUUCCCGGGCCUU
rnacentral:rRNA from 1 species